GACGUAGGGCGCGAGCGUUGUCCGGAAUUAUUGGGCGUAAAGAGCUCGUAGGCGGUCUGUCGCGUCUGCUGUGAAAACCUGGGGCUUAACCCCGGGCCUGCAGUGGGUACGGGCAGACUAGAGUGCGGUAGGGGAGACUGGAAUUCCUGGUGUAGCGGUGGAAUGCGCAGAUAUCAGGAGGAACACCGGUGGCGAAGGCGGGUCUCUGGGCCGAUACUGACGCUGAGGAGCGGAAGCGUGGGGAGCGAACAGG
rnacentral:rRNA from 1 species